rnacentral:tRNA from 1 species
GCCGCCUUAGCACAGCUGGUUGAUUAGUACCUUUGCAAGCUAUUGGGUCGGGGGUUCGAGUCCCCUCAGGCGGCACCG